AUGAGGUCCAGGAAGUUUCAGAUUUAAGUUAUUUGAAAGAAGAGAGAAGAUUUGGACUUUUGAGAAAUCAAGAAAAAAAUCACGUGUUGGAGCAACUGCAUUUGAAUAGGAUGAGCACCUGAGAGAUGAUGGCUCCACAAGGUGGAAGGAGACUUUGUUCUGGAAAAGCAAGCAGAGAAAAGCUAAUAGUCAACUGGGAACACCUGGACUGGACAGUGUUGCAGCUGAGAAAGAAACAUGUAUUUGAGCCCAUAGACAAUUUGGGUCUGUAUGUCAUAGUGCUUUAACCUAUGCUAAACAACACAAUAGAUUAAUAGCCUCUUCCAAACUAAUGAAGCCAAACAUUGACCUUUU
rnacentral:lncRNA from 1 species